GUGGAUAGAAUACUAAUUAUACACCUUUUAUGACAACCAACUUAGUUAUUUCAUCAACCAAUUUUUGGGUUAGUAGCUAGCUCCAAUUGUUCCCAAGUACUAAUUGUAUAAGUGGGUACAAACUUCAGCCAAACUCUAGCUUUGCCAUGUUGAUUCUUAGGGUUAGUUUGGGAGUUAGAUUUUCGAGGGGAAGGAAAGAAAAUGUAAGGCUUAGGAGGCAUAAAAUACAUUUGUGAGAUGACUCCAAAGCCUUUACUUUCCCUUCAUUCACAUCCAAAAUCCAACUCCCAAACUAACCCUUAGAGUCUCUUAGAGUUCCAAGAACAUGUCUAUAUGAUUGUUUGGUUCUUCUGAAGGCACUCUACAAAAUGAAUUAUGUCUUAUCAUUUAGAUUAGAGUAGAUUUUAUGGUGAAAGUGCUUCGCUUCUAUGGAUGGCUUUGCAAUUUCGGAUCUGGACCUCAAGCAUGAGGUGCUAUAUAUUUCUUGAGUGAUUUGUUGUCUUGAUCAGCCAUUGCUUCCAUCAUUUUAGAUCUUUUUCUUGAUCUUUCCAUUUGUUGCAUUGUCAUCUUCUUCAAUGAAAGGUCGUCUUGGGUUCUAGGCCAGCUAUGCUUGAAGUCCUAUAAUCAUUGGUUCUUUGCAUAUACUUAGAUCAACAACAUGUGGAUGUACUGAGAGAAAACAAAGUAUAAUACAACAAUGUUUAAAGUUAAUUAAAAUCAGAACAAAAAUUCAAAAAAAUAUGAUGCACAAGAUCCACACAAGUAUACGAGUCUU
rnacentral:lncRNA from 1 species